rnacentral:rRNA from 1 species
AGGAUGAACGCUGGCGGCGUGCUUAACACAUGCAAGUCGAACGAUGAAGGCUGGAGCUUGCUCUGGCUGGAUUAGUGGCGAACGGGUGAGUAACACGUGAGUAACCUGCCCCAGACUCUGGGAUAAGCGCUGGAAACGGCGUCUAAUACCGGAUACGAGCUUCCACCGCAUGGUGAGGAGCUGGAAAGAAUUUCGGUCUGGGAUGGACUCGCGGCCUAUCAGCUUGUUGGUGAGGUAAUGGCUCACCAAGGCGACGACGGGUAGCCGGCCUGAGAGGGUGACCGGCCACGACUGGGACUGAGACACGGCCCAGACUCCUACGGGAGCAGCAGUGGGGAAUAUUGCACAAUGGGCGCAAGCCUGAUGCAGCAACGCCGCGUGAGGGACGAAGGCCGUUCGG